AGAGUUUGAUCAUGGCUCAGAACGAACGCUGGCGGCGUGCCUAACACAUGCAAGUCGAACGAGAAAGUUCUCUUCGGAGGAUGAGUAUAGUGGCGCACGGGUGAGUAACACGUAGGUAAUCUACCUCUGAGUUCGAGAUAACCUUGGGAAACUAGGGCUAAUACCGGAUGAAGCUACAGGAUUGGCAGUCUGUAGUUAAAGGGCCUUCGGGUCUGCUUAGAGAUGAGCCUGCGACCUAUCAGCUAGUUGGUAGUGUAAUGGACUACCAAGGCGAAGACGGGUAGUUGGUCUGAGAGGAUGAUCAGUCACACUGGCACUGAGACACGGGCCAGACUCCUACGGGAGGCAGCAGUAGGGAAUAUUGCGCAAUGGGCGAAAGCCUGACGCAGCGACGCCGCGUGAGUGAAGAAGGCAGUUAUUGUUGUAAAGCUCUGUAAGGAGGGAAGAAUUUUGACGGUACCUCCAAAGUAAGGACCGGCUAAACACGUGCCAGCAGCCGCGGUAAUACGUGUGGUCCAAGCGUUGUCCGGAAUGACUGGGCGUAAAGGGUGUGUAGGCGGACUAAUAUGUCAGGUGUGAAAUCCCUCGGCUUAACCGGGGAACUGCGCUUGAAACUGUUAGUCUAGAGUAUGUCAGAGGCAAGCGGAAUUCCCGGAGUAGCGGUGAAAUGCGUAGAUAUCAAGAAGAACGCCGGUGGCGAAGGC
rnacentral:rRNA from 1 species